CCUGCAGAAUAAGAUAUCGAAUCUUUCUCGUCUCUGACAGGAGCUCCCUUGAGAGACGAGGAACCUCCAAUUUAGGGAUGGAUCUUUCCUUCCAUUCAGGAAAAACUGUGACUGCUUUGUACACUUCGCUGCUACUCAGCGUGCCUGGCCAGGAUUCCUGAUUUUCCACUGGCCACGUCUGAGAGAAGUCUCACCAGCAGGCUGCAAGAUGGACUGUCGCAUUUGCUUGGAGUCAUUACAUCUUAUGCGUUGAAAGCAGCUGAAUCAUUGACAGAGCUCUCUGUGCAGUUAGAAAUAGAGUCCCUGCCACAGGCAGUGAUGUGGUCAUGUCCGUGGCUACAGAGGGAAUUCCAGAUAGCAAUCUGGGACCAUGUGGUGCAGUGAUUAAGCCUCCAGCAACUGCCCAAAGAAUGUGAGAACAGGAAGAGCUAUGAGACCCUCAGUAUGGUCUGUGCCUCUCAUUCUAGCAGCUGGGAGGCCCGAGCCCAAAAAGGGGAGGAUGUCGGCGAAGGUCACACCGGCAGUCACUGGCCAAUCUGGAGCCUGACCCUUCAACACCUGCAACACUUCUGGUCUCUGGCGCUGCCGAGGCAGGUUCAACCACAGGUAGUGCCGUGAGGUGAGAACUCUAGCAGAAGGGUGUGUGGGGAGCUCUGGGGUCCUGAGCCCGUUACCUCUGAGUAAUGUUUCCUUGUCCAUGGA